AAUUGACCUGAGAGGCUCAUGCUAGCUAAACAAGUGUUCUAUCACUGAGAUGUACUUCUAGCUCCAAGAGGUCCAUUUCCUGUGUUUAUUUUGGGGUUUUUGUUUGGUUUUGAGACAGGCUCUCGCUAUGUAGUUCGGGCUGGCCUUGAACUCACUUUGUAGCCCAGGCUGGCCUCGAACUCGUGGUGACCCUCCUGCCUCAGCCUCCCGAGUGCUGGGAUGACAGGUAUGCACCACGCCCCUCAAGGUCCAUUUUAGAGGAGCGCGGGCUGAUUCCAUCCUUUCCACGCUCUCCCAUCACCUUUUUCUCAUCCUCUUGCCAUCUGUUUCCAUUCUGUCUCUCCUCCACCUCUUUCCAGUCUGGUCCUUUUCUGCAGAACCCCGGACCGCGCCGGAGACGGCGGCCACAGGCGGCCACAGGCGGCCAAAGCCGACCACGGCGCCAGGUGCCGCGCAGCUGCUGAACUCAGGAAGCAGGGAGCCGCGCGCUGCACAACACUCCGAAACGUCAUUUCCGGUCGCGACCCGCACAGGCGGCCAGGACUGCAUGCAGAGACGGGUGGCAUCACAGCCUGAGCCCUGUGCCAGUGACUCCAGGCAGCCCGCCCUGCUGCACAGCCCAGGCGACACGGACACCAUCCUUCCUUCUGGCCGCUCCAGCACCGCGAUCCCCACCCCACCCCCGCACUUGACCUCUCCCACCCACCCUGCCUGUCCAGCCUCAGCUUUCUGCCACAAGACACAGGCUGGACCAGGUACUGGAGAUUGAAUCCAGAGCCUACAUACUGAGCUACAUCUUCAGCCCUUUCGUUUAUAGUUUUGGGUUGAUUUGUUUGUUUUUCUUGAUACCAGCGAUCGAACUCAGGACCUUGCGAUUGCAAAGCAGGUGCAGUGCCACUGAGCUAAAUCCCGGGUCGGGUCCUUUAUAUUUUUGUUUUGAAACAGGGUCUUGCUAAAUUGCCCAGGUUGGGUUUGAACUUGCAGUCCUCUUGCCUCAGCCUCCCGAGUGCUGGGAUGACAGGCCUGCACCCCAUACCCAGAUGUACCUGGAUUUUGUAGCCAGUGGGGAAUGAGUUAAUGGUGACAGGACUGAAGGUGGCUCUCCUGAGUCCCUUGUAUGAGAACAUCCCCACAAGGCCCCCAUGGUGGACAAGCCCAGGAAAGUGAGCAGGUAUGGGCAGGCUGAAUGGACACACAGAGCUAUACCCCCCCCCCCAGGACUGGGAUGCUUGACACAGCUAUGCCAGGGGAGGGGACAGCUGAGUUGCACUGAGGGCCAGCACUAGACCUUGCUUUGCCAUGUCUGAGCUUGGGGCAAGGGUCUUGCUCAGUCCCCCAGUGGGGGGCUUGCAGAUGCCUAGGGUCCUGGGCUCACAGUCACUCACCUUCACCAGCCACACUUCUGUGUCCCUCUCUUCCCCAGGGAGAGCCCUACCCUCGAGGCAGGCAGCAAAGAACCAGCACAGCCUAUGGAUCCUUCUCUGGAGGAGCCCAUGGCACUGGCAGGGGCGCUCUCCUGAGCUGCAGAGGUCUGGGCACCGCAUCCUCCGU
ensembl:lncRNA